CUGCAGUCUGGUCCUGUCCAGUUGCCACCAUGUGGGGAUCCUGGGGCAGAAAGCAGGAAGCUGGGGCCAGGACGCUCUAUUACAGAGACCCUGAUUACUUUGACAUCCUGUGAACUGUCACACCUGCCCUCCACCCUGCUGGGAUUAUGCAGGCCGGACUUGAUGAGCAGGAAAUCAUAAGCUGAAAGUAGUCCCUUGCUGUUGCCACCACCUUUAGAAGAGCAGACCAUUCUCAGGUGUUUCAGCACCGAGGACAGCGCCACGGUCUUCCACCGGCACACGCGAUAAAAGGGCAUCACGCAUUCUACAAAGCACCUCAGCGAGAUAGGUUUGAAAAGACCAAGUUCAGGAGAAUUACUACUCUACAUGAGCACAUUUAAAAACAGAUCACACAGCCUCACAGCUGGGAUUAAGGAAGAGUUGAAAGCGCUUCGGCUCAAGCUCGCCCAUCGCUGAAGAUAGCGUUGGUUAGCGCACACCGCACAGCUGAGCAGCCAGGGGCGAGGACAGCGCCUGCCGCAGAGUGACAAGGGCUGGAGAGUGCACAGCCAACACCCAGCGGGCAUGGCUGCAGAGUGGCAAG